rnacentral:rRNA from 1 species
CCUACGGGAGGCAGCAGUGGGGGAUAUUGCACAAUGGGGGAAACCCUGAUGCAGCGACGCCGCGUGUGGGAAGACGGUCCUCUGGAUUGUAAACCACUGUCCCCAGGGACGAAAAUGACGGUACCUGGGGAGGAAGCUCCGGCUAACUACGUGCCAGCAGCCGCGGUAAUACGUAGGGAGCGAGCGUUGUCCGGAAUUACUGGGAGAAAAGGGGGCGUAGGCGGGGAUGCAAGUUGGGGGUCAAAACUACCGGCUCAACUGGUAGUCGCACUCAAAACUGCAGCUCUUGAGUGAAGUAGAGGCAGGCGGAAUGCCUAGUGUAGCGGUGAAAUGCGUAGAUAUUAGGAGGAACACCAGUGGCGAAGGCGGCCUGCUGGGCUUUUACUGACGCUGAGGCUCGAAAGUGUGGGGAGCAAACAGGAUUAGAUACCCUUGUAGUC